AUGAAGCAAAAAGUUGUGAGCAGAUUUGGUUCAAUUUCUACCAUUUGCCUGAUCAUCGACACGAAAGAGGUACUCAGAAAGUUAAAACGCAAAAUCCCUUGUCUUCUGAGUACAGCCGGAGGAGACAUUUGAAAAUUUCGACAGCUUUCAUC